CUGCCUGGGGUGUGCGUGAGCCCUCAUAUAUGUCUAACCUACAUUUUUUCUAGGGAAUCCGAUUUGACUCCGACGGAUGCUGGGUCGUCUCGAACGAAUAGCAGAAAGCGGACUUAGGGCACCCACCUGCGAGUUGCAGGUUUUAGACAUAAGAGGGGAACGGCAUCCUGGAC
rnacentral:other from 1 species